rnacentral:rRNA from 1 species
CAGGCCUAACACAUGCAAGUCGAGCGCUUGGGGUGUUCCCUUACGGGAGACCCCCUGGAGCGGCGGACGGGUGAGUAACACGUAGGCAACCUGCCUGUAAGAUCGGGAUAACUACCGGAAACGGUAGCUAAGACCGGAUAGCUGGUUUCUCCGCAUGGAGGGAUCAUGAAACAUGGGGCAACCUAUGGCUUACGGAUGGGCCUGCGGCGCAUUAGCUAGUUGGUGGGGUAACGGCCCACCAAGGCGACGAUGCGUAGCCGACCUGAGAGGGUGAUCGGCCACACUGGGACUGAGACACGGCCCAGACUCCUACGGGAGGCAGCAGUAGGGAAUCUUCCGCAAUGGGCGCAAGCCUGACGGAGCAACGCCGCGUGAGUGGUGAAGGUUUUCGGAUCGUAAAGCUCUGUUGCCAAGGAAGAACGCCUCGGAGAGUAACUGCUCUGAGGGUGACGGUACUUGAGAAGAAAGCCCCGGCUAACUACGUGCCAGCAGUCGCGGUAAUACGUAGGGGGCAAGCGUUGUCCGGAAUUAUUGGGCGUAAAGCGCGCGCAGGCGGUCUUUUAAGUUUGGUGUUUAAGCCCGGGGCUCAACCCCGGUUCGCACUGAAAACUGGGAGACUUGAGUGCAGGAGAGGAAAGCGGAAUUCCACGUGUAGCGGUGAAAUGCGUAGAGAUGUGGAGGAACACCAGUGGCGAAGGCGGCUUUCUGGACUGUAACUGACGCUGAGGCGCGAAAGCGUGGGGAGCAAAC